GGUUGUAUGGUCCAAUGGUUAUGACGUCAGAUUCUGAUCUGCCUGCUCAGCAGGUGAAACUUCUGAAGACCCGCGUUCGAUUCGCGGUACGACCU